CCAGACGGCCGGACGGCCGCUGACGCCUUCGGGCGUUGGAGGAAAGUCCGGGCUCCACGGGAAUGCGGUGCCGGCUAACGGCCGGCGGGGGCAACCCUAGGGAAAGUGCCACAGAAAACAAACCGCCCGCACGGCCCUGGGCCCGCGGGCAAGGGUGAAACGGUGCGGUAAGAGCGCACCGCGCGUCCGGCAACGGAGGCGGCACGGUAAACCCCACCGGGAGCAAGACCGAAUAGGGGCGGCUGGCCUCGGCGCCAAAACCGGCCGCCGACGCCGGGGGCAUUCCCGCCCCCUCGCCGCCCGGGUUGGUCGCGCGAGGCGUGCCGCAAGGCGCGUCCCAGAGGAAUGGCCGUCCCAUGCGCGAGCAUGGACAGAACCCGGCUUACAGGCCGUCUGGCACU
rnacentral:RNase_P_RNA from 1 species